rnacentral:rRNA from 1 species
GCCUAAAUCAAUGCUAAACAGCACUACAAAACAACCCCAAAACAAAGUCAAACCAUUUGCGCUGAGCUAGUAAAUGAGAUUAAACACUAUCUAAGCCUACCUAGUACCGCAAGGGAAAAAUGAAAGAAUAAUGAAAAACCCAAGCACAGCACAGCAAAGAUAUACCCCUGUACCUCUUGCAUCAUGGUCUAGCCAAACCCCCAUAAACAAAGAGGACUUAAGUCUGUCUACCCGAAACCAAACGAGCUAUUUCUGGUUAGCUUUUUACUAGAGCACACCCGUCCCUGUAGCAAAAGGGUGGGAAAACCUAGAAAUAGAGGCAAAACGCCUACCGAGCUUGGUGAUAGCUGGCUACUCAGCAAAAGAAUUUAAGUUCACUCUCAGACCAACCUACCGGGACUAUAAGCACUAAGCAAAGCCCCUCCCUCCUGUCUGAGAAAAAUCAAUGAGGGUACAGCCUCAUUGACACGGAAUACAGCCCGAAUUGCGAGAAACCACCCAUAAAGUUUUAGUGGGCUCCAAAGCAGCCACCAAUAAGUGCGUCAAAGCUUAAACUAAAACUAAUUAUUUACCUUAAACUGAACUCCCAACCCUUAGCGAGUAAUUUUAUUUGUUAAUAAAAAUACCCAUGCUAGAACUAGUAAUGAGAAUACCUCCCUUCUCUCCACACACCUUUAAAUCAAAAAUAGAAACACCGCUGAUAUUUAACAGACCACAAACGGAAAGACACAAACUACUAGCCCCCGUGUCUUCCUCUCUGUUACCCCAACACAGGAGUGUAAGAAAGAAAGGCUAAAAUCUGCAAAAGGAACUCGGCAAAAAUUAGUCCCAACUGUUUACCAAAAACAUAGCCUUUAGCCCAACAAGUAUUAAAGGUCUCGCCUGCCCAGUGACUAUUUAACGGCCGCGGUAUCCUAACCGUGCAAAGGUAGCAUAAUCACUUGUCCUCUAAAUAAGGACUAGAAUGAACGGCUAAAUGAGGACUAAACUGUCUCUUACAGAAGGCCAAUGAAACUGAUCUUUCAGUUCAAAAGCUGAAAUGUUAUCAUAAGACGAGAAGACCCUGUGGAGCUUAAAACCUUGACCACUAAACAUGUACAGCCUUGGUUUUUAGUUGGGGCGACUUCGGAGCAAAAGACAACCUCCGAUAAAACAUAUCAAGAUCUACACAUCAAAAUAAUCAUUUGACCCAGUAGUUUAACAAAACUAUCUGAUCAAUGAACCAAGUUACCCCAGGGAUAACAGCGCUAUCCCCUUCUAGAGUCCAUAUCGACAAGGGGGCUUACGACCUCGAUGUUGGAUCAGGAAAUCCUAAUAGUGCAGCUGCUAUUAAGGGCUCGUUUGUUCAACGAUUAAUAUCCUACGUGAUCUGAGUUCAGACCGGAGCAAUCCAGGUCGGUUUCUAUCUAUGCAGGCCCAUCCCUAGUACGAAAGGACCGGGACGGAAAGAUCCAUGCCAAAAGCACAUCUUACCAAAAUUGCUGAUUUUUUACUAAAGCAGACACUUGGCCUACGUGUCAGCCUAAAAUAAGGGUUG